AACGCUAGCUACAGGCUUAACACAUGCAAGUCGAGGGGCAGCAUACUUAGCUUGCUAAGGCCGAUGGCGACCGGCGCACGGGUGAGUAACACGUAUCCAACCUGCCGUCUACUCUUGGACAGCCUUCUGAAAGGAAGAUUAAUACAAGAUGGCAUCAUGAGUCCGCAUGUUCACAUGAUUAAAGGUAUUCCGGUAGACGAUGGGGAUGCGUUCCAUUAGAUAGUAGGCGGGGUAACGGCCCACCUAGUCUUCGAUGGAUAGGGGUUCUGAGAGGAAGGUCCCCCACAUUGGAACUGAGACACGGUCCAAACUCCUACGGGAGGCAGCAGUGAGGAAUAUUGGUCAAUGGGCGAGAGCCUGAACCAGCCAAGUAGCGUGAAGGAUGACUGCCCUAUGGGUUGUAAACUUCUUUUAUAAAGGAAUAAAGUCGGGUAUGGAUACCCGUUUGCAUGUACUUUAUGAAUAAGGAUCGGCUAACUCCGUGCCAGCAGCCGCGGUAAUACGGAGGAUCCGAGCGUUAUCCGGAUUUAUUGGGUUUAAAGGGAGCGUAGAUGGAUGUUUAAGUCAGUUGUGAAAGUUUGCGGCUCAACCGUAAAAUUGCAGUUGAUACUGGAUAUCUUGAGUGCAGUUGAGGCAGGCGGAAUUCGUGGUGUAGCGGUGAAAUGCUUAGAUAUCACGAAGAACUCCGAUUG
rnacentral:rRNA from 1 species